rnacentral:rRNA from 1 species
UACGUAGGGCGCAAGCGUUGUCCGGAAUUAUUGGGCGUAAAGAGCUCGUAGGCGGUUUGUCGCGUCUGCUGUGAAAUCCCAGGGCUUAACCCUGGGCCUGCAGUGGGUACGGGCAAGCUAGAGUGCGGUAGGGGAGAUCGGAAUUCCUGGUGUAGCGGUGAAAUGCGCAGAUAUCAGGAGGAACACCGGUGGCGAAGGCGGAUCUCUGGGCCGUAACUGACGCUGAGGAGCGAAAGCAUGGGUAGCGAACAGG